rnacentral:rRNA from 1 species
GACGAACGCUGGCGGCGUGCUUAACACAUGCAAGUCGAACGGAAAGGCCCUGCUUUUGUGGGGUGCUCGAGUGGCGAACGGGUGAGUAACACGUGAGUAACCUGCCCUUGACUUUGGGAUAACUUCAGGAAACUGGGGCUAAUACCGGAUAGGAGCUCCUGCUGCAUGGUGGGGGUUGGAAAGUUUCGGCGGUUGGGGAUGGACUCGCGGCUUAUCAGCUGGUUGGUGGGGUAGUGGCUUACCAAGGUUUUGACGGGUAGCCGGCCUGAGAGGGUGACCGGCCACAUUGGGACUGAGAUACGGACCAGACUCCUACGGGAGGCAGAAGUGGGGAAUAUUGCACAGUGGGCGGAAGCCUGAUGCAGCAACGCCGCGUGCGGGAUGACGGCCUUCGGGUUGUAAACCGCUUUCGCCUGUGACGAAGCGUGAGUGACGGUAAUGGGUAAAGAAGCACCGGCUAACUACGUG